AUGCUCCCACGCUCGAUCCCGGCCACCCUCUCCGCCCUCUCGAACACGCCGUUCCAUAUCCUCGCCUCCCUGCAUGCAUGUACGCUCGAUCACAUCAGCAUGAAGGACGAGCCAUCACGGAAUGGAGCUGUAGUGCUGUACCACGUGUCACUGCGCGGUACGGUACCUGGAGUGCUCCAUCUUGGGGAGGUAGAAGAAGGGGCCGAAUCCGGCGCCCUGGCCGGCGCGGAAGGCGGCGUGGCUGUGGAAGAAGUAGAGCCCGAAGUCCACGAGGCAGCCGAUGGCCGGCUCGCCGUCGAUGAGCACGUGCGCCUCCGGCAGGUGCCAGCCGCGCGGCCUGACGAACAGCUUCGCGGUGCGCUCGUCGAGCUUGUACACCCGGCCGCCGCGCGCCGCGUCGCGGAAGCUUAUGGUGCCGGCCACGGCGUACCGCAGGUUCACCUGCCCGCGCAUCAGGUUCUCCCACGUCGGCGCCAGCGCGUCCUCGAAAUCAGCCUACCACGUCCACGUCACGUUUUUCAAUUUGGUACAUGUACGUACGUUGGGUCCUGGGGCUGCACUUGCACGUACGUACGGCUACGCGCGCUUACCAUGAAGACCUUGGCGCCGGAGUUGAGCGCGUUGAUGACCAUCUUCCUCGGGUCGGCGGGGCCGGUGAUCUCCACGGUCCGGUCCGCGAUGGCCGGCGGCACGGGCGCGCACGCCCAGUCUCCCUCCCGGACGAACCUGGUGGACGGGUCGAACCGCGGCAGCUCGCCGGCGUCGUAG
rnacentral:rRNA from 1 species